rnacentral:rRNA from 1 species
CCCUUAUCUUAUGUUGCCAGCGCGUAAUGGCGGGGACUCGUGAGAGACUGCCGGGGUCAACUCGGAGGAAGGUGGGGACGACGUCAAGUCAUCAUGCCCCUUAUGUCCAGGGCUUCACACAUGCUACAAUGGCCGGUACAGAGGGCUGCGAUACCGCGAGGUGGAGCGAAUCCCUUAAAGCCGGUCUCAGUUCGGAUCGGGGUCUGCAACUCGACCCCGUGAAGUUGGAGUCGCUAGUAAUCGCAGAUCAGCAACGCUGCGGUGAAUACGUUCCCGGGCCUU